rnacentral:rRNA from 1 species
GACGAACGCUGGCGGCGUGCUUAACACAUGCAAGUCGAACGAAGAGCGAUGGAAGCUUGCUUCUAUCAAUCUUAGUGGCGAACGGGUGAGUAACGCGUAAUCAACCUGCCCUUCAGAGGGGGACAACAGUUGGAAACGACUGCUAAUACCGCAUACGAUCUAAUCUCGGCAUCGAGGAUAGAUGAAAGGUGGCUUCUACAUGUAAGCUAUCACUGAAGGAGGGGAUUGCGUCUGAUUAGCUAGUUGGAGGGGUAACGGCCCACCAAGGCGAUGAUCAGUAGCCGGUCUGAGAGGAUGAACGGCCACAUUGGGACUGAGACACGGCCCAGACUCCUACGGGAGGCAGCAGUGGGGAAUCUUCCGCAAUGGACGAAAGUCUGACGGAGCAACGCCGCGUGAGUGAUGACGGCCUUCGGGUUGUAAAGCUCUGUUAAUCGGGACGAAAGGCCUUCUUGCGAACAGUUAGAAGGAUUGACGGUACCGGAAUAGAAAGCCACGGCUACUCGCCC